UACGAAGGGGGCUAGCGUUGCUCGGAAUCACUGGGCGUAAAGGGUGCGUAGGCGGGUUUUAAGUCAGGGGUGAAAUCCUGGAGCUCAACUCCAGAACUGCCUUUGAUACUGAGGAUCUUGAGUAUGGGAGAGGUGAGUGGAACUGCGAGUGUAGAGGUGAAAUUCGUAGAUAUUCGCAAGAACACCAGUGGCGAAGGCGGCUCACUGGCCCAUUACUGACGCUGAGGCACGAAAGCGUGGGGAGCAAACAGGG
rnacentral:rRNA from 1 species